rnacentral:lncRNA from 1 species
GCUUUUUCACGCGGCCAGGCGAUGCCUGGGACCGCAUACCGCAUAUGCGACCAGGCGGUCGCAUAUGCGGCCCAAUAUGCGACAUUUUUAUUUAUUUUUUAUAUAUAUUUUUUUCAAUAUACCCCCCUGUAUUUUCUAUAUUUUAAAUAAAUCCCUGAUAUUAUAAGUCAUAAUAAAAAUCAUAAUUGAAAUAAUAUAGUGAUUAAUGAUACUUAAACUCUUAAAAUCUCAAAAACUUAAAAAAACAUUCAAAGUACAAGUGUAAUUCAAACACUUAGUUUCAAGUUCUAAGUUCUAACUAAGUUCUAAGUUCUAACUAUGUUCUAAAUAUUCAAG